rnacentral:rRNA from 1 species
UAGAGUUUGAUCCUGGCUCAGAGCGAACGCUGGCGGCAGGCCUAAUACAUGCAAGUCGAGCGCCCCUUCGGGGGAGCGGCGGACGGGUGAGUAACGCGUGGGAAUGUGCCCUUUGGUACGGAACAACACAGGGAAACUUGUGCUAAUACCGUAUGUGCCCUUCGGGGGAAAGAUUUAUCGCCAUUGGAGCAGCCCGCGUUGGAUUAGCUAGUUGGUGGGGUAAAGGCCCACCAAGGCGACGAUCCAUAGCUGGUCUGAGAGGAUGAUCAGCCACACUGGGACUGAGACACGGCCCAGACUCCUACGGGAGGCAGCAGUAGGGAAUCUUGCGCAAUGGGCGAAAGCCUGACGCAGCCAUGCCGCGUGAAUGAUGAAGGUCUUAGGAUUGUAAAAUUCUUUCACCGGGGAAGAUAAUGACGGUACCCGGAGAAGAAGCCCCGGCUAACUUCGUGCCAGCAGCCCCGGUCAA